GAUGAACGCUGGCGGCGUGCUUAACACAUGCAAGUCGAACGAGAAGUGAAGACGGAAACCUUCGGGCGGAAGGCUUUAUUUCGAGUGGCGGACGGGUGAGUAACGCGUGGGUAACCUGCCUCAUACAGGGGGAUAACAGUUGGAAACGACUGUUAAUACCGCAUAAGACCACAGCACCGCAUGGUGCGGGGGUAAAAACUCCGGUGGUAUGAGAUGGACCCGCGUUCGAUUAGCCAGUUGGCGGGGUAACGGCCCACCAAAGCGACGAUCGAUAGCCGAUGAGAGAGGAUGGCAGGCAACAGUGGCACUGAGACCCGGCCCAACCUCCUACGGGAGGCGGGAGGGGGGAAUAUUGCACAAUGGGGGAAACCCUGAUGCAGCGACGCCGCGUGAGAAAAAAAGUUUUUCGUUAUGAAAACCCCAAUAACAAGGAAAGAAAAUGACGGUACCUGAUAAAGAAGCCCCGGCUAACUACGUC
rnacentral:rRNA from 1 species